rnacentral:rRNA from 1 species
GACGAACGCUGGCGGCGUGCCUAAUACAUGCAAGUUGAGCGCUGAAGGUUGGUACUUGUACCAACUGGAUGAGCAGCGAACGGGUGAGUAACGCGUGGGGAAUCUGCCUUUGAGCGGGGGACAACAUUUGGAAACGAAUGCUAAUACCGCAUAAAAACUUUAAACACAAGUUUUAAGUUUGAAAGAUGCAAUUGCAUCACUCAAAGAUGAUCCCGCGUUGUAUUAGCUAGUUGGUGAGGUAAAGGCUCACCAAGGCGAUGAUACAUAGCCGACCUGAGAGGGUGAUCGGCCACAUUGGGACUGAGACACGGCCCAAACUCCUACGGGAGGCAGCAGUAGGGAAUCUUCGGCAAUGGACGAAAGUCUGACCGAGCAACGCUGCGUGAGUGAAGAAGGGUGUCGGAUCGUAAAACUCUGUUGGUAGAGAAGAACGUUGGUGAGAGUGGAAAGCUCAUCAAGUGACGGUAACUACCCAGAAAGGGACGGCUAACUACGUG